AGCUUUGCUAGGGUUUUGUCUUUCAUCGAGCAAUUUUGGGGCAGCCAAGGGCUUCCAUCACUGGCGAUAUAGACAACUACCCAAUGAUCAAGUUUUCAAGCUGUCUUUCAAUCAGAAACAAGAUAAACCAAUUUCUCAAUUGUCAGCAUUUGGGGAAUACGGCUCAAGAAUUUUGGGUAAUAUUCCCUUAUCUCGAACGUAUUGCGUUCUAGGUCGUGCGAUCCGGAUCGCGGUUAGGAAGCAAAGUGAGCGAACCAGGUUUUAAUACGGCUUAGGUUUUAAUACGGAGCAAAAUUUGUCAAAUUUAUGGCUGAAUGGUGCUGUUUUAGUGAUGGGCUUUGUAUUGGUAUUAGUUAAUCGUGGGAGGCCAUGUUCAAUGCUAUUGAAGAAGUUAGGAUGUUGAAACCGACCAAGGCAUCAGCCAACGACAAGAAGAGGAAGUUAUCAAUGGCAAGUUAGCCACUGCCAUACCAACAACCUUCUCUACA